UUGUAGGUCUCUGACUGUCAAUACUGACAA
rnacentral:piRNA from 1 species